CGUGGGUAACCUGCCCAAGAGAUCGGGAUAACACCUGGAAACAGAUGCUAAUACCGGAUAACAACAGAUGAUGCCUAUCAACUGUUUAAAAGGUGGUUCUGCUAUCACUCUUGGAUGGACCUGCGGUGCAUUAGCUAGUUGGUAGGGUAACGGCCUACCAAGGCGAUGAUGCAUAGCCGAGUUGAGAGACUGAUCGGCCACAUUGGGACUGAGACACGGCCCAAACUCCUACGGGAGGCAGCAGCC
rnacentral:rRNA from 1 species